rnacentral:rRNA from 1 species
GCAGCAGCCGCGGUAAUACGUAGGGUGCGAGCGUUAAUCGGAAUUACUGGGCGUAAAGCGUGCGCAGGCGGCUCGUUAAGACAGAUGUGAAAUCCCCGGGCUUAACCUGGGAACUGCAUUUGUGACUGGCGAGCUAGAGUAUGGCAGAGGGGGGUAGAAUUCCACGUGUAGCAGCGAAAUGCGUAGAGAUGUGGAGGAAUACCGAUGGCGAAGGCAGCCCCCUGGGCCAAUACUGACGCUCAUGCACGAAAGCGUGGGGAGCAAACAGGAUUAGAUACCCGAGUAGUCCCUGUCUCUUAUAC